rnacentral:lncRNA from 1 species
UUUAUUUUUCUGUAAAUUGGAAAGCAGUGGGAAAAAAUGAUGGGGAAAUUUUUUAUACCAAGCUUACUCUAAAAAUACGUUAUUUUUUCUGGUCUUGGGGAUUAAGAACUUAUUGAGAACAAAGUUAGUAGAAGAGAUAAUGUCUUCCUUCAAGUCUAUAUAAAUCAACAAAUCCUUAGUUAAUGGCUGUUGAAUUUAGAUUUAUCAUUUCUCCCAAGGAGUUCAGCUUCAGUUUUUUGGGAAUAAAAAAAGGCAAAGACCUACUAUAAAUUCAUUUGGAAUAUGUGGAUGUGCAUGAGGUUUAUCUUUCUCUAAUGAUGCCUAUCCUUCUGGCAGUUUGGAAUAGAAUUGCUGCCUACCAUGGUUGUUAGGGAGGAAAUCAUCAGAGCCCAUUUCAGAUCUUCCUCC